GAAAUUAGGGCUGCAAAUCUCGCCUUCUGUUCCUCGACUCCCCCCAAGAUUUAUUUGCUUUUAACGAACAGAGAGAACACUUGAGUGGUUAUCAGCGAAGGAAGUCCAAUACCUCAAGUUUCGCAGCAAUCCGGGAGGAGGAGGCAUCGCCGGCCUCAUCAUCCCUCACCUCUUCAAAUCGUGUCAGUGUUUUUCCCAAUCCAUCUCUACGAGAUCGUAUAUAGCUUUGCUUCUCUUUGUAGUAUUGGGAUACCGAUAAAUGGGGUGCCCUGGCUCCACUCGUAGGAUGAAAUGCUUGCUUUUCUUUUCUUGUUCCUUUGGAUUUUAGAAUAUUUAACCUUUUCUUCUUUCUUGUGGUAACAAAAAUGAUCUUCUCGGAUAUGGCUCACGUACCACUAUGUUCGAAACUUUGUCUUCUAUGUUCCAAAUUCGGUCAUGGGUGACAAAUUUAUCGCAUUUGUGAAACUUCGGUUGGGGUUGAAGACUGUGAUGGUUUCUCUUUAGGUUUAUUGCUUAUUGAUUUUUUUGGUUUGAGGCAGAUCAAAUCCACGGUCUAUUUGAUGCCCAAGUUCUGGAUUUGCUAAAUUUAGUGUUAUUUUUCAUGCUUUUUAAAGGAUUUAUGUAACUUAAGUCUUACUUGAAUUUGGCCUCAAACUGAUUGAACUAAAUCAAUCUCAAAUUGAUGGAAUUUAACUCCUAAUGUGGUCGAACUUGGUGGCAUUAAGGCUCAACCAUGCGGCCGUCCGAGCUACAGGCCAGCUUCUUGCCUGGACUGGAGCCACAUCAACAAAAGUAUGGCCUAGGUGGGGACCCGCUCAGGUCCAGGGUGCUUAGGUUGGGCCGAGCAAGGAGCCGACUUGCAACAUUGUUAGGUUAGAUCACUGAGUUUGAUUGCACCCGGGUUGGAUUCCACCAAUUUGGGAUUGGUUUGGUUCAAUCAAUUUGAGGUUAGGUUCAAGUCAGACUUAAGUCACAUCAAUUAAGGUUCGAUACAAAUUUAAAUGGGGUUCAAUUGAUUCCAGCCUAUUAUAUUAAUUUGGGCUUUAAGGCUGACUGGGCUAAACCACUCAAGGUCAGUCCACCUAGAUCCAAUAUAGGCUUCAGUGGCAGCCCACUAUGUCAGCUGUCCACGAUGACAUGAUAGUGAAUCUACAAGAUGAUAUGGUAGUGGGCUGUUGCUGAUGUGCCAAUGGAUCCAAGUUAAACAGUAACAAUUUUUUUUGCUAAUAAUAAGUAUCUUAUAUCACAUACUGAUGAAAAACCAAUCGCAUAAACUCUACAUAAAAAAAAUCAAUAAUUGUAUUUUUUUCUCUUAUAGCAGGAAGCAUGAUACGAUGUGGGUUCUUAAAGUCCAUCAAAUCAUAAUACUAUACAUGUCGAAAGAUCCAUUUCUCUAAGGAACAGAUGAGAAUGGACAAAAUUGAUUGGAUUCAGACCUACUCAGCACAGAAUGGACUGGGACCUUGGAUUUGAAGAACCCAAGAAAUCAUGCAGUUUGGUACACAAAUUUAAUGUGCCAGCAUACUACCACUGAGUAGAGGGUUCUGCCCACACAGUGUUGGAUCAUGCCUCUCAUGGCUAUUCUUGACAACUGGUACUGCUGCAUUCCAUAUCACCUAACAAGUGGGCAUAUCAUGAAUCUAAAAACUGUUGGUCAUUCUGGAUAUUUCUUAGGGAUUGUUAUUAACUCUUCAAUUUAAAGAAUAAUAGAGUUAAGUAUGAGAUUACUUGUUACCAUUUGGUUUCAUUUUGGUUUCAGAACAUGGAUAUGCCUAGUUGAUGCUUUUUAAUGUACAAAGUUAACCUGUCGGAGUGUUGACGAUAGUUGGACACUAACAAAUACCUUAAAAGAGGGUUAAGAUUAAAGAUUUAGAGGAUGUCACAUCUGUUUCUUCACAGAUAGGAAUCGAUGUUGGUGUUCUUUUUUUCUAUCAAAAUGAUGUUUGCAUGAGUCUGGUGAGAAUUGCAUGACAAAAUAACUCAUUUUUGGUAAUAACCUAAAAGGUCACUUGGCAUAUUUGGUUGCUCGACUUAAAGCUGCUCGGCCAUUCCUGACAGUGGUCGAUAGUCUUCUCAUUUGAUGCCACAAGACUGUCGCUAGCAAGGUAAGGCUACCUAACCCUCCGCAAUUUUGCACCUAUUUUAUUGGUUUGGGAGUGCGCCCAAUAGUGAUCGUGAUGAUACCUCCAGAUUUCUGAUAAGAGUUCAAUCGGCCUAAGUCACAUAGAGUUGUAUUAAGAUGAGCAUGCUGUUCUAUGUGAUAGGGAAGCUUUAGUUUUAAUGGUUUCAGUGAAGAGUUUUAUAUAUUCAUGAUGCUCAAGUCUUCUUCUGUUAAGUGAACUUUAGUCUUCUUGUUCUGUUUUAUGUAAGCUCCUUUUGGUGAUGAUUUUUGAAUGAUGCAUCAAAUGUUUGUCAGUGUUUCUGUCUGCUUAAUCUAGCGAGCUUUCCCUUUUAAUCACGUAAAAAGGGGAUCUAAUUGUCAUCAUUUGUUACAUUUAUGUCUUGCUCUUUUCCUGCUCCAGCAGAAUCAUAAUCUGGUAUCUCAUAAUGAGAAAUAAGCUUGCAAGGAAAGAAAAUAACAGCCAGGAAAUCUUGGUAAGAGUCAUGCCUCCACUGAAGCAAGCCUUUGUUAUAGACGGUUUGUGACCAAAGAUUACAUGCUUUUGUCGACAGAAAUCCUUAUGCCAUGAAGCCACCUGGAACUGGACAUGGAUGAUCCAUAACUGGAAUAUAUGGUUAACUAGUUUAUCAUCUUUAUCAGUUGAUGAUGCGAGUAAUAACAUAGGUGUCUUCCCCCUGGUAGUUAACUUCUGGUCACCCAACUACUAUGGCUCUCAUAGCCAGGAUCAUCACAUCAUGUUUACAGUAAUUCACUACAGGAGUGCCUGCUCUGUCAACAAUGUGGAUUGCUCAACUGCAAUGAAGGACAUCAGUACCCCAGCACUGAUGUCUCACUUCAAAAGAUUGGCAUACACUGUAGUAUCCCCUGACACAAUCUUGUCUAACAAGGAUUGUUGCCAAAUAAUCCUGUUGGCUGCCAGGAGUUCCUGACUACAUUACAAGGGUUGUGAUUGGUAGCUUAUGGUUGUAGAUAUUGCUGAUUUAAGUUUCGAGGAAGCUGUUCUCCAUUCUGAGGCAACAGAGAAGAUUCUUGGAGUACGGAUCUGUAGGUUAUGGUAAGAGAAUCCGUAGUGAGCUCUGGAUUUGAUUCCACUUGUUGGGUGCUGUCAAUGGGGGGUAAUAAGCAAGUUUAGUGAGUGGCACAGAAGACAAUGUGAUUGCAACUUGUAAACCAAUUUGGGAGAGUUUUUAGCUAUGACCUCUUCUCUUAUUGAUCUUAUGCAAAUGUAAUCUUCAAAUGUUGAUGAAUAGU